rnacentral:rRNA from 1 species
AAAGUUCACUUCGGUGGAUGAUUAUACUGGCGCUUGGGUGCGUAACGCGUGGGCGACCUGCCUUAUGGAGUGGGAUAACCUUGGGAAACCGGGGCUAAUACCGCAUAAGAUGAGAUGCAGCAUUGCAUUUUAUUUAAAGAUGCUUCGGCAUUGCCAUGAGAUGGGCCCGCGUCCCAUUAGGUAGUUGGUAGAGUAACGGCCUACCAAGCCGACGAUGGGUAGCUGAUCUGAGAGGAUGAUCAGCCACACUGGGACUGAGAUACGGCCCAGACUCCUACGGGAGGCAGCAGUGAGGAAUAUUGCGCAAUGGACGAAAGUCUGACGCAGCAACGCCGCGUGGGUGAAGAAGCUUUUCGGAGUGUAAAGCCCUGUCAGGUGGGAAGAGAGAUUAUAGCAGGAAAUGGCUAUGAUGUAGGACGGUACCACCAGAGGAAGCUCCGGCUAACUCCGUGCCAGCAGCCGCGGUAAUACGGGGGGAGCAAGCGUUGUCCGGAAUCAUUGGGCGUAAAGGGCGCGUAGGCGGCCUUAUAAGUCAGAUGUGAAAAUUACCGGCUUAACCGGUAACCUGCAUUUGAAACUGUAGGGCUUGAGUGUUUCAGGGGAUGAUGGAAUUCCUGGUGUAGCGGUGAAAUGCGUAGAUAUCAGGAAGAACACCGGUGGCGAA